UCUAAAUGUGCCCUUGGGUUUAGAUUUGUGACCUUGGCCCCCUGGGCAGCCCCAGCCACGUGGCCCAGAUGAUCACUAAGCCACCCAUUGUGUCAGAUGCAUUUCCUAUUUUGAAGCAUUUUUGUCAUGAUAUUAUGUUUGUAUUUACCCGCAUGAGGCAAAAAUUACGUAUUGGAUUAUUGUCUUCCACUCUGAUGCAGAAGCAGAAGCUGCCCAUAUGCUACGGUGUCAACUAUGCAGAUGGGCCCAGAUCAGCCAACAUGACACACAUCAAGUUGAACAGAAACGCCCACAGGAGCCUGGAAGAAGAUGCCAUCAGGAAUUGAUAAGAAGCAUUUCGGAUCUCAGCUCAUCUCCACGAGCUCAUCUGCAUACCACGCAGGUCGUCGCUGGGAGAAAGCGUGUCUUCAGAACGGACCGUGGUAAGACUUGGAAUAAGGAGUCAACCCCCGUUUCAUGCAAAGGAAACACUGAAGCUAAGUAGGGAACUGGGCACAUUAACACCAUCUGGGUUAAUAAGGCCACUGUGGACAGAGUUUAAAAUUGCUUCCACAAUUAAAGAGCCUGAGGAAAUCUAUAUGUUUGGGUCUGAAUGAGGACGCAUCCAAUAGUGAUGAGAAUUCUCUGUUUCUCUAAAAAUAAAAAAGAAACAGGGUGGGGUGGGGGUGGGGGUGAUGUGAACUAACCUGGCCCAACCGAUGCCCCUUCCAGUGUGCCCAGCAGCAUGGUGUCUGUGGACCAGCCAGGUCACACUAGCGCUUUCUCAGAGGAUUCAACCAAGCCUUGGCACCUUCCUUGGCAUGGAAAGAAGGCAACAUUUUUUCCCCCCUCCAGGGCUCUGUGCCUUGUAUUGAAUAAAUACUUGUUGUUAUAAGGUCCCUGUAAUUGCAUUUUGCAGCAUAGAAAAAUUGAGGCACAGGACAAUUCACAAUCACAUCUUCUGAGUGGCAGAGUUUGCAUCAGAGGCGCUUUGCUGCUCUGUCUCCAGGGAAGGUGCACAUGGGCUCUCGAUUUUGGAAUUGGGCUUGGGGGCAUCCUUUGUUCUGUAUUGGCUAGCAACUCUUGCAAGGUGGCCAGGGUGACCUGAGUGGAGUGGCAGAGUUACAUCAAAGACAUGGCUGUGCUUGACCCAGACUCCUCUCUUCUUACUUCUAACACAUCUUAGCAAAGAGUUUAUUUGAGUUGACUUAUCAAACUUUUACCGUUAAAGUAAUCAUCAAAUCAGCAAUUUGAUAAGGAAGCGGAACCCCCCCAUGCUACUAAUGUGCUAGCCUGGGAUGUCCUUUCUUGG
rnacentral:lncRNA from 9 species